rnacentral:rRNA from 1 species
UCACUUGUCUUUUAAAUGAAGACCUGUAUGAAUGGCAUCACGAGGGCUUAGCUGUCUCCUUUUUCAAGUCAAUGAAUUGAUCUCCCCGUGCAGAAGCGGGGAUAANNNUAUAAGACGAGAAGACCCUAUGGAGCUUUAGACCUAAUGCAGNUCCACGAAUAAUACUUUUGAUGAAGAAAGAAAAGCUCAAUGGCUCCUGCACGCCUGUCUUUGGUUGGGGCGACCGCGGGGAAAAAUAAAACCCCCAUGAGGAUUGAGAGUUCUACUCCUAAAACCAAGAGCCACAGCUCUAAGUAACAGAAAUUCUGACCUAAAUGAUCCGGGAAACCGAUCAACGAACCGAGUUACCCUAGGGAUAACAGCGCAAUCCCCUUCCAGAGCCCA